rnacentral:lncRNA from 1 species
AUACAUAUCAAACACAUUAAUAAUCUAGCAAGUUAAUACAUAUUUCUAAAUAAAUUAAUAUAUAAUUUUUAAAAUAAUUUAUUAAUAUAAAAUAUAUAUUUAGAUGAUACAUAUUUAGCAAAUUAGUCAUAUACUUCUCUAUACAAAUUGAUAUAUAAUUUUAAGAACACCACGUUUAUCACUACGCACUAUAUGGUCAGAUAAUACAUAUUUGUUGGCUUUUUGAUAUAUAUUAUAAAUUUUUUUGAUAUACAUACAGCA